CCGCUCCCGCCCGACCCCCCGCCCUAACCCCAGCGCGACGGCAGCUCCGGCGAAGACAACUGCGGGGCCGGGCGGCGGCAACGGCGGCGGAAUGUACAGCCGGCUGAGAGGGGGAGGCAGCCUCGAUCUGAAGGCCCCGGCGCCGCGGCCACGCCCCUCGCCGCCAGCGCAGCUUGCCGAUUGGCCAACCCGGCUCCGGUGCGCUCAGCCAAUCGGAAGGGGCGAUGGAGAGCGGGGACGGAAAGAGCAAACGCGGAGGGGACGGGAGCGACGCCGGGAGCGGAGCGGGGAGGGCCGAGCGCGGAGCGACCGUGUGGCUUGGGAGGCGGGGAGGAAAUGGAAGAGGAGUCGUUGUGAGGGCAGGGAAGGCAGGGGAAGGAGAAGCCCGGCAACGGGCCCGGAACAAGGCGGGGUCCCGGCUGGAAGCCGAGUUGGAGCGGCGUUCUUUCCCGCCGCGUGCGCCCGCUCUUCCGGGGAGGUUCUGGGGCGCGCGCCGGGGCGGGAACCCCAGCGCGGCGGCGGCCGGGCCGGCCUUGGCGGGGCGGUGCGCGCGGGGCCCGGCCGAGGAAGGCCCAUUGGAAGGCUCGGGUUCAUCGCGGACCGAGUGCCCGCAACAGGACCAUCAUUAACAGAGGCAGAGGUAAUACGAGCUGCAAAAGAACGUGCUUGCAAUUCCGGAAAAGAGUAUAAGGAAAUGUUUUAAAACUAAAUAUACUGGCACCUCUCUUGUGCUCUGCGACGUAGUUAGCGGCUCGGAUCAGAAGCAAGAACGUAGGCGUUGGAUGUGUUUCUGUAAGUCGAGAAGGAGGAGGAAGCCCUACAGAGUCCUUUGGAAUCUUUUCUGUUUCUUUCGGAUCAGCAGAACCAGUGCAGAAGUAAACGCUUCGAGUGAGACGUUGUUUAAAUACUUCUAAAGUCAAAAGAUGGAAAUGUUUCUUAAAAAAGAAAAGGAAACCAGUGUGUUUAAACAGUGUAAACGGCAGAGUUGUCUCUGAACAAAGGGGAACGAGGGUAGCUGGAAUACGAUCGGAGUCACUUAAAGAUGAUUUUUAAAAAAAAUUAGAAGCAGAGUAAUAUAUUUUUAAGUGUUCAGUACUUUGCAUACCUUCCACGGGACUGUAGCAAAGAAACUACCUGGAAAUAAUUUACACUAAAGAGUAACUUGAAUGUAAAUUGAGUGCAGAUCUUAAAAUAUAAAUGAUGUUUAUUAUAAAUUUCUAUUCACCCCAAGGACCAGUUUAGUUAAAUUCACUUUGUGUUUACGUGCAGGUUUAGGAUGAGAAACUUAAGUUGUGAGGCUGAUGUUACGUGUUUUCCACCAUCGUAGACUUGAUCAUAAACAGGGUUCAAGAAAAAGAUUUACUAGUGAAUGCUUACUCGGACUGGAAGUUAUCCUGUCGGUGUGCAUAUGUAGAUGAAUACUUUGUACUUCUUGAAAUAAAUGUAAUUCUUUUCAUGAUGAAGUAGAAUUGUUUACUGUUGUAUAUCUUCAUAUCACUCAGAUGGAAUUAAUUGUAUUUGAUGAUUAAACAGCCUGAAAUUCUCUCUGCAGAAAAUUAAGAUGGGUUUGAUCAGCAUACUAACUGAGAGAGGCAGUACAGUUAGGUGAUAACCACAUCUUGUAAUUUUGUUUAACGUGUGACUGAAGUCUGCCUUGCUCUCUAGACAGUAGCUCUCCGAAGUCAAGGAUAAUAUUUGUGUUGUUGUCUACUGAAUACUUAGCACACAGUAGUACUUGCCGCUUGGUGUGCACCCUGUUGGUCAAGCACAAAAACCUAAGCUUUUUCAAGGGUAUGUUCUUGAAAUUUCAAAAUGAACACUUGUUUACAUAAAUGUGUAAGCCAGGCGUGGUGGUGCACACCUGGAAUCCCAGCACUUGGGAGGCUGAGGCAGGAGGAUCGUUGAAAGUUCCAGACCAGCCUGCGCUACAAAGUGAGUUCAAGGCCAGCCUAAACUACAUAGUGAGACCCUGUCUGAAAAAGUCAAAAAUAAAAAAUAUGUAGAUUGAGUUGUUACUGCUUUUAAUUUACACAGAAUUUCAUCCAAGAAUACCUGAUUUUAUGUCAUGCUCAUUCCAGAGUUAAAAUUUAAGAAAUAAAUCAACUGUUUCAGGGCAGAGCCUUUCAUAUGUGUAAAAGAGUGAUCCAUUUUUGGAAGACAAACAAUUAUCCUUAAUUAUAAUUUGUAGGUAGUCUUGUUUGCUGGCCUAAAUUCUUCAGAUGAAAUUGUCACUGCUCAUUGACCAGCAAGUUUAUAUGUUUAACGUCUGUACUUGCAGUUCAUGUAAGAUAGAAGAUACAUAAUUUAUCAAAGGAAUAAGUUUUUCAGGAAGUUGGUAAUAGCUCUAAAUGUAGCUACAGUAGAAUUAACCCUUGUUAGGAAGUUUUAUUUAUUUUUGUUUUUUUUUUUUUUUUGAGGCACAGUCUCUGUAGUUCAGGGUGGCUUUGAACUCGAGGCAAUCCUCCUCCCUUUGCCUUGCAAGUGCUGGGAAUACAGAUGUAUCCCACCAUGCAAGCAACAUUUUAGAGAUUUACUCUGCCUGACGGAUGAAAUAGUAAAAUUCAGAUUUGUUAGUAUCGUUUUGACAAUAGUUUGGAUGCUAUAGCAAAUUAUACUGGGUAGCAAUUAACAUUUAUCUCAGUUCUGUAGGAUACGAAGUCCAAUAUCAAGGAGCUAGGAGAUUUAGUGUCAGCGGAGGCCUAGGGCUAGCUUCCUGGUUUGCAAAGAGCUGUCUCUGUAUUUUCAUAUGGCAGAAAGCAACCAGAGAGAGAAAACUCUUGUCUCUACCGUUAAGAACAGAUUACCUCCUAAAGGCCUCACCCCUUAGUAUUAUCACAUCGGGGAGUACAAUAUCAGCGUGAAUUUUGGGGCACACAAACAUUCAGACUGUAAGAAAGAGACUAACCAAAUACACAGUUCUAACCCAAACACUAAAACCUAUUCUACUUAAGAGACUUGCUUCAAAUAAGCUAUUCUCGAGCAAGCAUGAGGUCCUGAGUUCAAUUCCCGAUACCAAAGAAAACCCCCCAAAACAAAAACAAAUAGGCUAUUCUAUGUUAGGUAACUUCAUAUCUUGACUGUUACUUUUGGCAUAGGAAAAAUACUGUGGAGAUACUUAUAUUCAAUGAAUCAUUGUGUUCUCUUAGAGUCAUGUGAAUAAAGACACUUUCUGCUUGCAGCAGGUUUUUUCUUUUUUUCUUUUUGAGGCAGAGUCUCGCUAUGCAGUUCAGGCUGGCCUUGAGCUCACUUUGUAGUUCAGGCUGGUCUUGAACUCAAGAUGAUCCUCCUGCCUCAGCCUCCCAAGUGCUGGGAUUACAAGCAUGCACCACCACGCCCAGCUAUAGCAGGUUUGUGAAGGAAUUUGUAAACCAACACACAGGGCUUGGGUUGGUAAAAUGUAUCUCAAAACGAAAAAUAAUCAUUAAGUACUUCAGUUAAACAGUUUGAAUUUUUUUUUUUUUUUUUUUUUUUUUGGUCUUUUUGAGACAAAGUCUUUCUAUGCAGUUCAGGCUGGCCUUGAGCUCACUUUAUAGCCCAGACUGAUCUCAAACUUGCUGCAGUCCUGCUGCCUCAGCCUCCCAAGAGCUGGGAUUACGGCAUGAAUUAUUAUUAUUAUUUUUUAAAGAGUAAAAGAAGGAUAACAUAGUAAUAGGGGGACUUACAGAAUUACAGACAAAGUGGUAGGAAAUUAUCAAUAGUUAUUUUACCUAUUGGUAUCUUCAAGAUAGUUUCUCAGGAAAAC
rnacentral:lncRNA from 1 species